GUCCCAAAUAGCAAUCUGAUUGUCCUGAAAAGAGGCCAGACGAUAUUCGCCGAACGGGUCCGAGCACGCUCCAUACACUUGUUUGGCGGUAUUUCCGCGUGGUUGCUUCGAAGACUCUAGAUAAAGCAGAAAAAGGGGAGAAAUUCAAAAACCAGAAUAACCACAAAAAUGCGCUAUUAUUACCGCUGCGCGAGCAGUGAAUUGAAAACGAUGCGGAGCAAGGCAGAUCAUUUUCCCCGGCACACGGAGUGCAAUUUUUCUUACCUCUGAUAUCGUAAACCUUCAAACCCUUCCCAAGAAAUCCAGUCAGCAGUGUUUUUGUUUUAUUGUGAAACCAGGAGCAAGACGCCACAUGUUCUCCCGCUCCGAACUCCACAACGGCUUUGGUCUCGUUAUCAACGCGACUGUCGUCCCUGGAUCCACUGCCUCCAAGAGACGUAACCGAGCGAUCAAAUUGGGAUCAGUAGCGUUCCACGCCACGCAAUUGCACGGGCGGAGAUACCGCGGCGCAAAUUCCUUAUUCUGCAGCGUCCGAAAACUGUCCCGGCCACUGGAAUCCUGUUGGAAACCGACAAUCACCACUUUGCCAUUGGCCGUACCAGCUGACAAGAGGCGACCAAAUUCAAAUGUCGGACACCAGUCCAAGCAUCGCACACACACCGAAGCGUUCGAAGAGACGACGGGGCAUGCAUGCGUCCGGUUGGAC